GAUCGAUUGGCGCAAUGGUAGCGCGCUCGACUCCAGAUAGAAAGGUUAGGUGUUCGAUCCGCCCAGUGGUCA
rnacentral:tRNA from 1 species